GUCGUAAGGAGGACGCAAUCCAAAGCACGUAAAAAGGGCCCCAAUUAAGGGCCGACAGAUAAACCAAAGGCUUACAUCCUUCUAAUCGCGCUGACAUUUGCUCUGCUAGAGAAAUGUGCUGCAUUUUGGUUAGAAGAAGAGUCAACACAACACCAAAAAAAAAAAUCUUUUAUUUUCUGGACUGCUUAUCCUCACAAGGGUCACAGGCGUGCUGGUCGCCUGCCAUAUAUAAACAAACAACCAUUCGCACUCACAUUCACACCUACGGGCAAUUUAGAGUCUUCAAUCAACCUACCACGCAUGUUUUUGGGAUGUGAGAGGAAAUCUGAGUAAGCAGAGAAAUCCCACACAGGCGCAGGGAGAACUUGCAAACUCCACACAGGCGAGGCCGGAUUUGAACACGAGUCCUCAGAACUGUGAGGCAGAUGUGCCGCAAGAACAUAUCUUUAUGAAAUGUAGUUUGCAGCAGCCCCUUUUAUAGAAUAUUUAAUUAAAUCUAAGAGGGGAAACUACAGGGUAACAUACAGAGGGACUCUACGACAAAAAGAAAAUAACACUAAUGGUAAAUGAAAAGGGAAGAUAGGACAUUGUGUGUUGCUGGACUAAAAUUGAGCGUGAAUAGGUUGCAACCUCUUCCUGCCUUUUUCGUUGAGUCGUUGGUAACUCAGAGAGCUCACGCUUGGCUGGAAGCGCGACUUGUACUUUUAUCAGCAACUUGUCUGAUCGCGACCGACAGGAAUGACGAAUUAGAUCAUGCGGGGGAAUAAAGGAUGACGCUCCGAGCCGAUCGCUUUGUUGCAAAGCUAUCGCGCAAAAUGCCGGCCCAUACAUAUGGUGAGAUCCUCCCAGCCGCUUGGCAACUGAUCGUCUCUCGACCAGGAUUUGAGUAAAUGGGAUCCGGAAUCGUGAUGAGUGAACUGCGUUUGGAUAGCCAGCCGAGCUUCAUCCCGAGCUUCCUCCGACGAAGAUCGACGAAGGCGAAAACAAAGGAAAUCAACACCCACGAGUCGAACGUCUUUUAGAUUACGACGAAGAAAAGUUUAUGCAUCCAGCAGACUUUCGACUCCCAUUCCAGUACGCAUUGACAACAAAAAAAGGGUCGCGGGCGUGCUGGAGCCUAUCCCAGCUAUCAUCGGGAAGGAGGCGGGAUACACCCUCAACUGGUUGCCAGCCAAUCGCAGGGCUGGCAACCAUACAAAUACAAACAAACAACCAUCCGCCUUCACAGUCACACCUACGGGCAAUUUAUGCAUGUUUUUGGGAUGUGGGAGGAAACCGGAGUGCCCGGAAAAAACCCACGCAGCCACGGGGAGAACAUGCAAACUCCACACAGUUGGGGCCAGGGAUUGAACCCGGGUCCUCAGAACUGUGAGGCUUACGCUCUAACCAGUCGUCCACCGUGCCACCUGCAAUUUCAACAAUAUAUUUUUAUAGUGAUAGUUAUAUUUCUAAACUGCAAAGUCCUCAAGCAGAAGUAGAGAAGGAUUUCAAGGAGUAUGACAACCAAACAAGAUUCCAUUCACUGCCACCGAAGAAUAAAAUCCAAAGGUGGAUAAAACCUUGCUAGAUUUUAUGCACAAGGUAAUAAAAACCUGGACUAUUGAGCAAACGGUAGAGGAGGAAAAUUUGGAGGAAAAAAAAGUGCAAG